CUACGGGGUGCAGCAGUGGGGAAUAUUGGACAAUGGGCAAAAGCCUGAUCCAGCAAUGCCGCGUGUGUGAAGAAGGCCUGCGGGUUGUAAAGCACUUUCAGUAGGGAGGAAGGCAUUAACUUUAAUAGAGUUGAUGAUUGACGUUACCUACAGAAGAAGCACCGGCUAACUCUGUGCCAGCAGCCGCGGUAAUACAGAGGGUGCGAGCGUUAAUCGGAAUUACUGGGCGUAAAGGGUGCGUAGGUGGCAAGAUAAGUUAGGUGUGAAAUCCGCGGGCUUAACCUGAGAAUUGCGCUUCAUACUGUCUCGCUAGAGUACUAUAGAGGGUAGUGGAAUUUCCAGUGUAGCGGUGAAAUGCGUAGAUAUUGGAAGGAACACCAGUGGCGAAGGCGACUACCUGGAUAGAUACUGACACUGAGGCACGAAAGCGUGGGUAGCAAACAGGAUUAGAUACCCGCGUAGUC
rnacentral:rRNA from 1 species